rnacentral:rRNA from 1 species
UACGUAGGGUGUGAGCGUUGUCCGGAAUUACUGGGCGUAAAGAGCUCGUAGGUGGUUUGUCGCGUUGUUCGUGAAAACCGGGGGCUUAACCCUCGGCGUGCGGGCGAUACGGGCAGACUUGAGUACUGCAGGGGAGACUGGAAUUCCUGGUGUAGCGGUGGAAUGCGCAGAUAUCAGGAGGAACACCGGUGGCGAAGGCGGGUCUCUGGGCAGUAACUGACGCUGAGGAGCGAAAGCGUGGGGAGCGAACAGG